UUGAACGCUGGCGGCAGGCCUAACACAUGCAAGUCGAACGGUAACAGGAAGAAGCUUGCUUCUUUGCUGACGAGUGGCGGACGGGUGAGUAAUGUCUGGGAAACUGCCUGAUGGAGGGGGAUAACUACUGGAAACGGUAGCUAAUACCGCAUAACGCCGCAAGACCAAAGAGGGGGACCUUCGGGCCUCUUGCCAUCGGAUGUGCCCAGAUGGGAUUAGCUAGUAGGUGGGGUAACGGCUCACCUAGGCGACGAUCCCUAGCUGGUCUGAGAGGAUGACCAGCCACACUGGAACUGAGACACGGUCCAGACUCCUACGGGAGGCAGCAGUGGGGAAUAUUGCACAAUGGGCGCAAGCCUGAUGCAGCCAUGCCGCGUGUAUGAAGAAGGCCUUCGGGUUGUAAAGUACUUUCAGCGGGGAGGAAGGGAGUAAAGUUAAUACCUUUGCUCAUUGACGUUACCCGCAGAAGAAGCACCGGCUAACUCCGUG
rnacentral:rRNA from 1 species